GACGAACGCUGGCGGCGUGCCUAACACAUGCAAGUCGAGCGGAGUCGAUCGACGGAAGCCUUCGGGCGGAAGAUGGUUGACUUAGCGGCGGAUGGGUGAGUAACGCGUGGGCAACCUGCCUCGAAGACCGGGAUAACAGCCCGAAAGGGCUGCUAAUACCGGAUGUGGUCAAGGAUCCGCAUGGAUUUUUGAUUAAAGGGGAAACCCGUUUCGAGAUGGGCCCGCGUCCUAUCAGCUAGUUGGUGAGGUAAAAGCUCACCAAGGCGACGACGGGUAGCCGGCCUGAGAGGGUGACCGGCCACACUGGAACUGAGACACGGUCCAGACUCCUACGGGGGGCAGCAGUGGGGAAUCUUCCACAAUGGGCGAAAGCCUGAUGGAGCGACGCCGCGUGAGCGAAGAAGGCCUUCGGGUGUAAAGCUCUGUCUGGAGGGACGAAGGAAGGUGACGGUACCUCCGGAGGAAGCCACGGCUAACUACGUG
rnacentral:rRNA from 1 species